CUCCGCGCCCUCCUCGCCUUCCUCCUUUCACACCGACAGGCUCAGUGGGAGUCAGACAGGUGCUCUGUGAAAGAGAGGGAUUCGAGGUGUGAGGCCUCAGCUCUAGAACAGCGCCGGCCCUCAGAAGCAGGACGCGCUCACCGGCCCCAGAUGUGGAGCAUCAUCGCCCUGGUCCCACAGAGCCGGGCCUACCGAGAAGACACGGACGAGGCUCUGGGGGCAGCUGGGCCCCACGUGACCGUGAUCAAGUCACCCUACUUGCCGGACCUGUUACCUCAUCUGAAGGAGAGGGGAGUCCUCGCACUCUUCACCAGCACCCUUCCAGCGGGGAUGGGGUUCUCGCCUCUGUCCUCCGCCAUCCUCGGGGCCAUCCUAUCGACCCUUCGCCCCUCCAAAGCUCCACAAACAUCCCCUCGACACAUAAAUCAAAAUGAAAAGCUACAAAGGACGCUGCUUAUAACAAGGUUUUAAUAAAAUAAAAA